rnacentral:sRNA from 1 species
CUAGUCCUGAGAGAAAAGGGUCUGCGUCGUCUUGCUCAUGAUCAAAGUAAAGAGGAGCGUAGAAUUUGGCCAUCAAGAUCGCGUUUUCUGGUGCGCCCUGCGUUUUCAGUGGUCUUGCAUCUGAAACAUGAACGAGCACCCAGUUGAGCGUUUUGGUGGUUGCCGAAUCUAAUUGCCUCCGAUAUACGAGUAGUCAAGUGGAAAACCUGCGGUCCAUCGGAGCCGGGUGACGGAGGGUGGAGGAGACAAACAUUCGAGAGGAUGUUUCCAUUCUCGCUCAUGUACGGUCUCGGGAUCGAGCGCACAACUCCAGCGCAUGGGAGCUAGAGGGUUGUGAGAGCGAACUGUGAACUGCCGCCCUGAAACGUAAGGCAAAGGAGGCUUGGAAAAGUUAAAUCGGGAGCAAAAACUGGCACUCAAAGGAUAUGUCAUGUUGCGAAAUGGGAGUGUGGAAAGCUGUUAUUAAAUCGAUAAAGCAGAGCA